GAUGAACGCUGGCGGCGUGCCUAAUACAUGCAAGUCGAGCGAACGGACGAGAAGCUUGCUUCUCUGAUGUUAGCGGCGGACGGGUGAGUAACACGUGGAUAACCUACCUAUAAGACUGGGAUAACUUCGGGAAACCGGAGCUAAUACCGGAUAAUAUUUUGAACCGCAUGGUUCAAAAGUGAAAGACGGUCUUGCUGUCACUUAUAGAUGGAUCCGCGCUGCAUUAGCUAGUUGGUAAGGUAACGGCUUACCAAGGCAACGAUGCAUAGCCGACCUGAGAGGGUGAUCAGCCACACUGGAACUGAGACACGGUCCAGACUCCUACGGGAGGCAGCAGUGGGGAAUCUUCCGCAAUGGGCGAAAGCCUGACGGAGCAACGCCGCGUGAGUGAUGAAGGUCUUCGGAUCGUAAAACUCUGUUAUUAGGGAAGAACAUAUGUGUAAGUAACUGUGCACAUCUUGACGGUACCUAAACAGAAAGCCACGGCUAACUACGUG
rnacentral:rRNA from 1 species